AGCAGAUUUUUUGGUUAGCUCCCUAAAGUAGUACACAUUACGAUUGCAGGUCCCUCCUCUAGUGAGUUCGAUCAGCUUCUGGACCAUCAGUUACUCUCUCUCUCUCAUCUGUUAGGGGAACGACGAUCUCCACCGGAGCCAGCCUGUGAGAAAUUUCUGCUGCAAUUUCAGCUACUACCUAUCCCUUCUUCAGGUCCAACAUCAAUUCCAGUACUCCCCAACCUCCUGUUCACCUGCUUGCUAUCUCUGUAGCCUCUCAACCAGCAGCGACGACCAGAGAAGCGGCGCCGCCCUUUGCCGAGUCUUCGUCUAAGCCUCCUCCGGCGAUGAGCAUCGAACAGUAGUGGGAUAUUGAUCAAAUGGCUAGUACAGUACAAAGUUUUGGGUCAACAACUGCUGUACAAAUUGAGGAUGAUGCAAGCAGCGAAUUGCAGAUUCAAGGAAGGGUUUGAUGAACAUGAUGGAGAUGGCUAUGAAACUCCUAACGGGCAAUGUGAUAUGCCAUAUUGUGGAUUAAACACAUUACUUGCACGACAUUCAAUAGUGGGAUAUUGACCAAUGCUUUGAGAUUCUAUCAAAUAUCUAUGAGCCUGAAUGUGACACUACUUUGCAACCCUCAUCAGUGGGCAUGAUAUUUGAUAGCUGGGAACAAGGCAAGUCAUUCUACAAAGCAUAUGCUCAUCAUGUUGGCUUUUCAGUUUGUUCAUGGACGCAACACAAAGAUGGUGAUGUAGUGAAGUUGAAGAAAUUUGUUUGCUCAAAGGAAGGCUGGAGAAAGAAUAAUAAAAAGGAGAAUGAGCAAGUUGAUCAGAAGCCUAAAAGAAAAUUGAAGAUUACUAGGGUCGGUUGCAAGGCAAUGAGUCAAUUCAAGAGGCGAUCUGAUGGUAAAUAUGAGGUCGUUCGGUUUGUUAAAACUCAUACUCACGAACUUGCCUCACCAAGGAAAUGGCAUUUGCUUAGAUCAAAUAGGGAAGUGAGUGCUGAACUGAAGAGCACAUUAUUUUCAUGUCACAAAGCACUUCUUGGCACUUCAGCAGCAUUUCGACUUCUAAGUGUAGAGAUGGGGGGAGGGGAGCACGAAAAUAUUGGAUGCACGAAGCAGGACCUUAAAAAAUUAUGAUAGAGACUUUUCAAGCUAGCAAUAUGCCAUGGGGAUGGUCAGGUUUUGAUUGACAUCAUGAAAGAGAAGCAACGGUUGAAUGCAUCCUUCUUCUUUGAAUAUAAAUUGGACGAUAAGCAGAGGUUAACACAUGUUUUUUGGUCAGAUGGUACCUGUAGGAAGAACUAUUCACUUUUUGGUGAUGUUGUCUCCUUCGACUCGACAUAUUGAUCAAACCGGUAUGGACUAGUGUUCACCCCUUUUACAGGAGUAAACCACCACAAAUCAUGUGUUACAUUUGCAGCUGCAUUUAUACCAAAUGAAAAGAUUGAGUCGUACAUAUGGGUGUACGAGACCUUUUUAAAGGAAAUGAAAGGGGCUGCACCAAAACUCAUCAUAACUGAUGAAGAUCUUAGCAUGAGGGCUGCUAUUAGAGCUAUUUUGCCAGGCACAAUUCGCCCUGGGCACGAAAAAACUGAGAACCGAGAACCGAACUGAAAAAACCGAGAAUCGGAGCCGAACCAAAUCGAAACUGAGAAUUUUGUUUCCAUUUCGGUUCCCUAUUCUCAGGAACCGAAAUCUUCGGUUCGGUUUGGUUUUUUACUCGGUUAAAUCGAAGAACCGAAGCCAUAUGCAAAUUAAUCCCACGAAGCCCAAUAGCCCAAGCCGGCGGCCCAUCUAGCAAGAAUUCUAACCCUAACCCACGUCUCCACCCCCACCCAAUCCCCAUCCCGCCGCCUCCCCAGCUCCACUUGCCUGCUCCCACUUCCCAGCGCCGCUCGCGCCUACCGGUGGCUAGCACCGGCGCUCCGCUCCGCUCCCUCCUCCCAGCGCCCCCUAGCCCCUGCCUCACCCUCCUCUCCCAGUGCCCCUCGACCUCUGCGCACCAGUGACUGACCCAUUGACCGGCCUCCAUCUCCUCCCUCUCGGCGUGGUGGCGCCAUGCCCGGCCAUCGUCAUCCUCCCUCCCUCCCGGCGGGGCGGCGUCGCUGCGGAAGCAUGGCGCGGACGUGGGAGUGCGGGGGACGGGGUGGCGGCGGUGCAUCCACUGCAGCGUUGCGGCUCUCCCCAGCAGGCAAGCAGCAGCGGCGAGGCUCUCCCCUGCAGCUGCAAGGAAGGCGACCGGCACGCGGCGGCAGCCCCCUACAGGUAAGAGUACAUAUUGUGUUGUAGCAAUGGCUCAUAAAUGAACAAGUCAUUAUUGACACUGUUUUUUGACGCGUGUCAAGAUCAAUGGUAAAGUGAAAAGGAAGUCACCGAUGAUAGAAGAAAGCAAGAGGAUGCAGUAUGGAAUCAGCCGAUUAAAUGGCAGCCGAUGGGCUUAGAGAGUACUCCCAUCUGAACGAUGUUGGUACGUGGGAUAUGGCAGUCCGCCGAUGGUAUUGAUUGCCGAUGGAUUUGAAGGAAUAUUCUAGAUUUGGUUAAGAUUUGGUGAUUCGAUUUAGUUUUAGGAAGUCUUUUUACUUUUUAGUCAAGAUAUGUGUUUGCCGUAAUCGGCUAGUAGCUUAGACUAUAUAUACUAGUUGUAUGAGACCGAGAAAGAUUGAUACACAUCCAAUACAACAACACUUUACAA